rnacentral:rRNA from 1 species
GACGAACGCUGGCGGCGUGCUUAACACAUGCAAGUCGAGCGGUAAGGCCCUUUCGGGGGUACACGAGCGGCGAACGGGUGAGUAACACGUGGGUGACCUGCCCUUAGCUCUGGGAUAAGCCUGGGAAACUGGGUCUAAUACCGGAUAUGACUCCAUGACGCAUGUUGUGGGGCGGAAAGCCUUGUGCGGCUGGGGAUGGGCCCGCGGCCUAUCAGCUUGUUGGUGGGGUGAUGGCCUACCAAGGCGA